rnacentral:lncRNA from 1 species
UGGUGCAGAAAAGUGGAUGCCCCUCCUUUCUUGGUGUGUGAAAAAGGUGGCGCCUCCUUCUAGCCCUAAUAUCCCUUGUUUUCUAUAAAAAGGAUCCAAUACUUAGAGGCCUAUAGUAUGAGAAAUAGAGAAAAAAUUUGAGAAAAAAAUUCUGCUCAAAAUUCAAGCCUUGUUCCUCCUUAUCUACCUUCCAUUCUUCUUAGUUCUUAAGAGAGUCUAUGAGAUCUGAGAGAAAACCAGAUCAGCCAUCAAAGAGGAGAUCUUUGCAAGGAAUCUAGCACUCUUGAAAGAUCAUCUCACCUC